rnacentral:rRNA from 1 species
UACGUAGGGGGCAAGCGUUGUCCGGAUUUAUUGGGCGUAAAGAGCGUGUAGGCGGUCUGGUAGGUCCGUUGUGAAACUCGAGGCUCAACCUCGAGACGCCGAUGGAAACCAUCAGACUAGAGUCCGGAAGAGGAGAGUGGAAUUCCUGGUGUAGCGGUGAAAUGCGCAGAUAUCAGGAAGAACACCCGUGGCUAAGGCGGCUCUCUAGUACGGUACUGACGCUGAGACGCGAAAGCGUGGGGAGCGAACAGG